GGGGAAUUAGCUCAGUUGGUAGAGCGUCUGAUUUGCAUUCAGAAGGUCAGGAGUUCGAACCUCCUAUUCUCCA
rnacentral:tRNA from 1 species